rnacentral:lncRNA from 1 species
AUUCUGAUUCAGUAGGCCUUUGCCAGGGCAGAGGUAUGUAGGUGAUGCUCACGCUCAGCUAGGUUUGGGAGCAACCAGACUAGAACCCAUUCACAUACAGACUCUUAGUAAAUGUUUUCUGCUCUCAUCUUGCAAAGUGAAAGUGCCCAGCACAGGCAAUGGUGUUAGUACGUUGUAGUCAUUCACAAACUAGGGCUGCCCAGAAGAGAGACAGGCUGGGACUUUCGAGAGAGAAACAGCUGUUUCAUUUGAAUGCCUGGUGUGGGAAGAAGAAGGACAGCCUAGCUUCAUGGAACCUUCUUGCACCAAACAAAGCCUCCAGAUCCCUCCACAGUGCUCCAUUCAAUCCCUGUCCAUUGGUGGUGGACCAAAGAAGAAACCAAUUUGCCUUGGCCACAUGUCUUUGAGAAAAAAAGCCACUCUCCCUUCUGGGACUCAGAGCAUCUGUACCUGUAAUAUAAGAGGGGAAUGUGGAAAAUUCUAACUGGAUGAUCACUUUUCUGUGGAGGGAAAAACACAUUUUUUGUUUUAAGGGGCUAGCCAGCAUCAAACCUUUUUUUGAGAUGGAGUCUCGCUCUGUCACCCAGGCUAGAGUGCAAUGGCACUAUCUCCGGGACCAAGUGCCCCCUGCACUUUCAACGCCGUAGGUCUCCCGGCAGCCCUGGAAGGACAGUCUUACCCGGACGCCACGGUGGUCUCCCGGCAGCCCUGGGAAGGACAGUCUUACCCGGACGCCACGGUGGUCUCCCGGCAGCCCUGGGAAGGACAGUCUUACCCGGACGCCACGGCCGAGCUGCCCUUCCCUCCCUGCUGCCCCCAGGGAAGGCUGCUGGUGUCCUCAGAUGCGGGCAGGAGGAACCCGCCAGCGCCUGAGAGCCUGGCCCGAACCAGGCCUGGAGGUGCUGGGGCGAAGACACAGAGGAUGUGGCCUCCAUCCCUGGUAACAGACGGUUACCAGGGCGGCUUUGGGUGAGGACAUUGAAAAAGGUCAGACUCCCUGGGAGCAGCGCCCUGGACUCCAUUCUCAUCACAGGCCAGUGGUUCCCAAUUGAAGUCAGUUUUGCUCCUCAGGGCACACUUAACAACAUCUGGAGACAUUUUUAAUUGUCCUGACCGAGAGGACAAUGCUACUGGCAUCUAGUGGACAGAGGCCAGGGAUACUGCUGAACAUCCCGCAGUGCACAGGACGCCUGCAACACAGAUUAUCCAGCCCCAAACGUCAAUAGUGCCGGAGUUAUGGAACCCUAAUGAAGACAAUUCUUGAAGGCAUAGACUGAAUCUUAUUUAUCUUUGUUUCCCUCAUGUCUCACAAGCAGAGUAUGAGUUCAGCAAAUAGGAGUUGAACAGAAAUCAGGAGGAGGUGCUGAUUGACAGGAAAAAAGAAAGAUUUAGUUUAGAGCUGAGAAUUCAGCUGGACAGCCAUAGGGGCUCUGGCAUGGAGACUGGAAGUCAGAAGAGAAUUUGCAGCAAGACAUUUAGAGCCAUUUAUCCAGCCAUCAUAAUUUUAUUGAGUAACUAUUUUGUGUGAGGCACUGUACUGGAUGCUUUGGCAACAGAGAUAAGCAAGGCAACCCCUGUGAAAUCACUUGAACCCAGGAGGAGGAGGUUUCAGUCAGUAGAGAUUGAACUACUAUACUCUAGCCUGGAUGACAAAGUAAGACCUUGUCAAAAAAAAAAAAAAAAAAAAAAAAAAAAAAAGAAGGAUAAUCAAGACAAUGAGCUAACACAGAAGCCAUAGUGGACUUUCUUCAAUAUUUUAAGAAAGGUGAAAAAUAGCAGGAAUUUAACCUCUCAAAAAUGCUAUUCCCAUUAUCUAUUCUUCCUCAGCUACAAAGCCCCUGAUUUCACCUAGGCACAUGGCUGCCCAAAAAAGACAACCCUGUCUGGCCCCCCUUAAACCUGAUUGUAGCUAUCUAAGUUGUAGCCAAUGAGGUGUCAGAGGAAGUACCAUGCAGUGCAACUUCUUAAGUAGCCUAGAAAGAUGGGGUCACAUCCCCCUGGGUUGUUUCCUUCUUUGUGUCAUUUUGAUCUCUCUCGCUGGAAAACAGAAAUGAUGUCUGGAGUGUAAGCAGCCAUCUUGGGCUAGGAGACUACAUGCUGACAUGGUGACACACCACCCAGAAAGAAUCUGAGUAGUCGAUGAUCACAGAGCUACCAUAUCAGCACUAGACUCUCUACCUCCACAUUUUAUUUGUGUGACAUAGAAAUAAAGUUUAAGCUUUGUUUUUUCUGGGGUGUAUGUGUGUACACAUGUGCGUCUCUGUCUGUCUCACAUGCAGUGAGACCUAAUUCUAACUGAUAUGCCGGUAGGAUGGGGGGACCUUGCCACAAGGUAUAAUUGUGGUGGGAUGGCUGUGUCUUGCUCCCAUUCAGGAUCCAUGGAAAGCUCCUCCUCCUUCCUGUUCCCCUGGAUGCCAAGCGAUGGGCCUGAGACCCUGGCUUUGCCAUGUGGAUGCUCCCCCUCAGGACUUUGGAUGUGCAGUGAUUGCUACAAAAAGGGCAAUGAAGAUGCCUGGACCACAGCCACACAGUCUCCAUCACAGCAGUGGUAUUCUGUGGAAUGAGUACUAAUUUUCUGGCCACAUUUUCUGUUAAAAACUGGUUGUUGAGCUGCCCACUUGUCUUGGUCAAGGGAUGCUGGAGUGGCCUGGGAAGGCAGUGUUGUUUGCUUUUCUUAGGAUGGAACACACUUAGGCAUAUUUUUGGUCAAAGCAAAAGAAGAAUUCAAAGGUGAGAGAAGUUGAAGAUAAAAAGGGGAAAAUGAGGGUAGCAGAUGAAGCAAAGUCACACAGAAAGCUGGCAGGCGAGUAGUAGAAUCAGAGUACAGGCUGAGCAUCCCAAAUCUGAAAAUCCAAAAUCGGAAGUGCUCCAAAACCUGAAACUUUUGGAGCACCAACACAAUGCUCAAAGUAAAUGCUCAGUGAAGCAUUUUGGAUUUCAUAUUUUCAGAUUUGGGUUUGCCCAACCGGUGUAAUACAAAUAUUCCAAAAUCAAAAAAAAAAAAAAAAAAAAAUCUAAAGUCUGAAACACUCCUGGUCCCAAGCAUUUUGAAUACAGGAUACUCAACCUGUAUGACACUUUCCUAUUGGACCCUCUUUCCUACCCCAAAUAAUACUUAAUAAGUUUUUGUUUCAAAAGUGCCACUCUGAGCAUCUUUGGCUAUAAGGAGCAGAGUCACAUUCUAGCUCCCCUGGCACCUGCUUCACAGGAGCCCAUGUGAGAAGACCAGGUUCUGGUCAGGACAGGCAUACCUGAGAGCUGUUGGGGUCUGUGAUCUGCUGAAAAAUGACUUCUCAAUGUUCUUCACAUCCUAAUCCUCAGAAACUGUGAAUAUAUUACUUUAUAUGACAACAGGGAUUUUAAAGAUGUGAUUAAGUAAAUAGUUUGGAGAUGGACAGAUUAUCCUGGAUUAUCCAGAUGGGCCCAAUGUAAACACAAGGGCCCUCAUGAGAGGGAGGCAAGAGGGUCAGAGAAGAUGCUGUGACAGCAGAAGCAGAGGACAGAGAGUCGCAGAGAGAUUUGAAGAUACUACACAGCUGGCUUUGAAAAUGCAGGAAAGGGCCAUAUCUGUUGCUUCACACCACUAAGUUUGUGAUAAUUUGUUACAGCAGCAGUGGGAAACUAAUAGAGCAUCUUUCCUUUUUUUCUAGUUAAAGGACUCACUUGUACGUGUACACAUUUCUCAGGAGUCCUGUCAACCACUGGGAAGAAAGAGGCUGGACUUCUGCAUUGAACCCAGGAACGGGGUUUCACAGCAAUGGAAACCUGGGGUUAAAUAUCAAUGGAACCUUACAUGACUUGAAGAAUCUUUAAUACAAGCUAGGUUUUGACCCCAAAUUAGACAUUUGGCAGCCUCUCAUUACAGUCUAUCUUGCAAACCUCAGUGUGGCAAGGAAUCAGAUUCACCCACACUCCCUAGUCUAAAGGAUUGUCCUCUGAUCCUUCCAGGUGGAUUAAGCCCUUUCUAAUCUGUCAUGGACAGAGCAAUGUACCUGCCUUUGUUUGUUUUCCUUAAUUCUUUCAAGUGCCUUUGGGUAAUAAAUGGUUGCGUACUCAGG